AUGAGAAAGUUGCUAUUAUCUCUACAAAUGUAAUUAAUCCUGCCAUAUUCGAUCAAGCUCUGAGAAUUUUUAUUCCACAUGUACCGGCUGGAACAUCUGCUUGGCCAAGCAAAAUUUCUCAGCAACUUCUUUAUUCGGUGAAAUGAGACCAAGGUCAGAGGGACGAGUUCAAUGCCCAAUGGCUGUUUGAGAAAACAAAGGUUAUGGUAAAGUUUGAACCAAUUAGCCAAGCUGAUGGAAGUGCUUUGCUCGUUGUCGAUCAUAUAAAUGGAAGACUUCCUGUUUUAUACCAUGUCCUUUGACUUAGAAUGUGUGCUUGCUUGUUGGUUUCCCAAACUAUUCUUAGUGUGAAUGCAUUGUUUCCUUCAAUUGGAUAAAUUCAUUUCGUGUUAGCCCAAUGGCUAUUGAUGGUUUCAAGGCAUCCCAAUAGCUAUGAUGGUUUUAAGGCAAUCUCGGUAUACAAGUUGAAUGUGGUGUUAAGUUUUGGUGAUGCGCAUUUGCAGCGGUGUUAAGUUUUGGUGGUGCAAGUACCUAUUAAAUCUACGUUUUUCCUGUGUUGUGGCCUCUAAAAACCAUGCCACGACAACGCCCAUAAGCAGCUUUUGUAGAUGUUGUUUUUGAUGUUUCUUUAGUUACUAUAACAAUAUUCUUCUAUUUCCCUUAUUGUAUAUAAAGGUUUGCUAUUAUGUUCA